rnacentral:rRNA from 1 species
UACGGAGGGUGCGAGCGUUGUCCGGAAUCACUGGGCGUAAAGGGCGUGUAGGCGGUUAGUUAAGUCUGGCGUGAAAGCUCUCGGCUAAACCGGGAGAGGUCGUUGGAUACUGGCUGACUAGAGGACGGUAGAGGCGUGUGGAAUUCCGGGUGUAGUGGUGAAAUGCGUAGAGAUCCGGAGGAACACCAGUGGCGAAGGCGACACGCUGGGCCGUACCUGACGCUAAAGCGCGACAGCAUGGGGAGCAAACGGG